rnacentral:rRNA from 1 species
UAGUGAACCAGUACCGUGAGGGAAAGGCGAAAAGAACCCCGGCGAGGGGAGUGAAAAAGAACCUGAAACCGUGUACGUACAAGCAGUGGGAGCCUCUUUAUGGGGUGACUGCGUACCUUUUGUAUAAUGGGUCAGCGACUUAUAUUCUGUAGCAAGGUUAACCGAAUAGGGGAGCCGAAGGGAAACCGAGUCUUAACUGGGCGUUAAGUUGCAGGGUAUAGACCCGAAACCCGGUGAUCUAGCCAUGGGCAGGUUGAAGGUUGGGUAACACUAACUGGAGGACCGAACCGACUAAUGUUGAAAAAUUAGCGGAUGACUUGUGGCUGGGGGUGAAAGGCCAAUCAAACCGGGAGAUAGCUGGUUCUCCCCGAAAGCUAUUUAGGUAGCGCCUCGUGAAUUCAUCUCCGGGGGUAGAGCACUGUUUCGGCAAGGGGGUCAUCCCGACUUACCAACCCGAUGCAAACUGCGAAUACCGGAGAAUGUUAUCACGGGAGACACACGGCGGGUGCUAACGUCCGUCGUGAAGAGGGAAACAACCCAGACCGCCAGCUAAGGUCCCAAAGUCAUGGUUAAGUGGGAAACGAUGUGGGAAGGCCCAGACAGCCAGGAUGUUGGCUUAGAAGCAGCCAUCAUUUAAAGAAAGCGUAAUAGCUCACUGGUCGAGUCGGCCUGCGCGGAAGAUGUAACGGGGCUAAACCAUGCACCGAAGCUGCGGCAGCGACACUAUGUGUUGUUGGGUAGGGGAGCGUUCUGUAAGCCUGUGAAGGUGUGCUGUGAGGCAUGCUGGAGGUAUCAGAAGUGCGAAUGCUGACAU